GACGAACGCUGGCGGCGUGCCUAAUACAUGCAAGUUGAGCGAUGAAGAUUGGUGCUUGCACCAAUUUGAAGAGCAGCGAACGGGUGAGUAACGCGUGGGGAAUCUGCCUUUGAGCGGGGGACAACAUUUGGAAACGAAUGCUAAUACCGCAUAAUAACUUUAAACAUAAGUUUUAAGUUUGAAAGAUGCAAUUGCAUCACUCAAAGAUGAUCCCGCGUUGUAUUAGCUAGUUGGUGAGGUAAAGGCUCACCAAGGCGAUGAUACAUAGCCGACCUGAGAGGGUGAUCGGCCACAUUGGGACUGAGACACGGCCCAAACUCCUACGGGAGGCAGCAGUGGGGAAUCUUCGGCAAUGGACGAAAGUCUGACCGAGCAACGCCGCGUGAGUGAAGAAGGUUUUCGGAUCGUAAAACUCUGUUGGUAGAGAAGAACGUUGGUGAGAGUGGAAAGCUCAUCAAGUGACGGUAACUACCCAGAAAGGGACGGCUAACUACGUG
rnacentral:rRNA from 1 species